AUGCAGUCGAGCGCCCCGCAAGGGGAGCGGCGGACGGGUGAGUAACGCGUGGGAUCGUGCCUCUUGCUACGGAAUAGCCUCGGGAAACUGGGAGUAAUACCGUAUAAGCCCUACGGGGGAAAGAUUUAUCGGCAAGAGAUCGGCCCGCGUUGGAUUAGGUAGUUGGUGGGGUAAUGGCCUACCAAGCCGACGAUCCAUAGCUGGUUUGAGAGGAUGAUCAGCCACACUGGGACUGAGACACGGCCCAGACUCCUACGGGAGGCAGCAGUGGGGAAUCUUAGACAAUGGGCGCAAGCCUGAUCUAGCCAUGCCGCGUGAGCGAUGAAGGCCUUAGGGUUGUAAAGCUCUUUCGUGGGGGAAGAUAAUGACUGUACCCCAAGAAGAAGCCCCGGCUAACUCCGUGCCAGCAGCCGCGGUAAUACGGAGGGGGCUAGCGUUGUUCGGAAUUACUGGGCGUAAAGCGCACGUAGGCGGACUGGAAAGUCAGAGGUGAAAUCCCAGGGCUCAACCUUGGAACUGCCUUUGAAACUCCCAGUCUUGAGGUCGAGAGAGGUGAGUGGAAUUCCGAGUGUAGAGGUGAAAUUCGUAGAUAUUCGGAGGAACACCAGUGGCGAAGGCGGCUCACUGGCUCGAUACUGACGCUGA
rnacentral:rRNA from 1 species